AGGUUUCAGAACUAUGAACUGGAUUCAGCGCAAGAUCUAUCUUUACAAUGUUACUUUUGGGCUCUACAUGUUGGAUUGGUGGGAGCGUUAUCUUUUCAAUACUUUGAUCAUCAUGUUGAUGUGGUUCAUUCUUUACAACGGAUCACGAUAUGUGACUGAGUUCUGCAAGAGGCUUCUAGGGUGAGGACCUGAACUGGAAUCAACUUGAAGGAUGACAAACAAGGAUGUAUUGUGGAAGAUUUAGGGGGUGUUUGGGAGAGUAGUUUGAGUUAUGUUGUUUGGGUGUUUUGGAUAUACGUGUAGGUGAAAAAAUGUGUGAAAAUGUGUGUAAUUUUGUUUAAAUGUGUAGUUUUGUGUUUGAGAUGGCUUGCCACUCUGCAGCAUAUCCCACUUUGAUUGGAAUGGACUUGGGAGUAUCUUAAGUUGUAAAGAAAACCGUGUAUGUCCUCAAUGUACUUAUUAAAAAAAAAACUAUCGUCCAUGUAUUUUACACCCUUGUCAUAAGGAUUUCAGACCAUUUUCUAUUG